UUUUCAAGGAACCGAUAAGAUGUAUGUGGUUUAAAAACACUUCAUUGAUUUGUCUUAUUGCUUUGUUUUGUUUUUAGUCAUGUCUUCAGUUAAUUUUGAAAUUUUAUACCACAUUAAAAGAGGUUGAGACAUUUAUGUUCUUCAGAAAGGUGCUUGCUAUCGGAGGCAAUGAGUUUUUACCCAUAUUUUAGCACAACUGUUAAAUUGUAUAUGGAAAUUCUUACUGGUAUGUUUGUUAAAUAUUUUCAUUGCCAUGAUUGUCCCUGGUCCCAGUGGAAUCUUAUUAGUGUAAAUCUUCUUUGUCAUACAUUCUCUCUCCUUGCUGUUUCAGAGGCCUACUCAGCUUUCAGGGUUUCAGAUGCCACCCCAACCACUUACUCUUCCAUGCCUUACCCCCCACAAGGCAUGAAAUUCGCUUGCAUGUAACUCCUGUAACACUGUCACCCUUCUUACGUUCUGCCUUGCGUUCUGGGUAACUUGUUUUGUCUCACCCUAGGGGAUUUUAAGUUCCAGUACAGUAAAAGGAGCAUUUUAUUUACCUUUGUAUUUACUGUAAUGUGGAGCACAGUGCCUUUUAAAUUGGGUCAUUUAAUAUAUGUUUGAGUUGAAGGCAAUUUAUCAUGGUAGUUACGUGUAUACCAUAUAUGGUAGUUAUAUGGUAUAGAGUUUCCAGGUCACCAAACUAUCACUGAUAUUUAUAGAAACAUUAAAGUUUUGAUAUAAGAAAUUAAUUUAUAAAGUCAAAUAGGAAUUUUUGUUUAAAAAUGAAGGCGUAAUACCAGGGAAAGGAAAAAGACACAGACGUAGACCCUUUAUACUUUGUGCUUAGCAACUGAGUGGCUCUGAACUUUUUGGAUGGGUAGCUGAAUGAAUGAAAGAACUUGAAUGCUAGGUCACACUGGUUGGUGAGCAUAGUACCUUUAAAACCUUGAACCUGUCCAGCUCCUACAGUACCCUCAAACCUUCUGGGAAUUUAUUUGGAGUGGGUGGGGAUAGAAGAGAAGAUGUAGAUCAAUGAAAUCUGACAAAUUAAUUUUAAAAUUUUCACCAAGUAGCUUAUUCUGCAGGAGAUAAAGUAAAUAUUAACAGGCCCUUUUGUCAUGGAUUGUAAUUGUAUUGUGGGGAUUUAUGAAAACUUUAAUUUUUACAGGACUUCUUUUUCUUCUCUAAGAUCAUAUUUGUUUGGUCUAAUAGUAUAUAUUGUUAUAUCAGUUCAAGAGCUUUCCCAGAGAGUUGAGAAAUUUUAAUAAACAAUAUGGGCUAUCUUGCUAAAUGAUCCAACCUCUUAAAUAGCUGUGAAGUUUGGCUGUUUGUAUUUGGUUUUGAGAAAUCAUAUUGUCAAAAUAAUAAUUUGGAUUCUACUGAUCAACAUGGUAUCUGCCUCUGUGACUCACUGUGUUAAUUGUGAAAUGCUUGCCUGGCUUGGGGCAUGAUUUUUAGACAUGGAAGAGAUUUAUUUUCUCUGUAAGUAACAAUUGUUUGGUAUGCCGUUCUUGAAGUCCAGGAGGAGUUACUAAAGAACAGAGCAUAGUUCUUUUUUUUUUUUUUUUUUUGGAGUCACACAGGGACCCACAAAGAUCUUUUUUUUUGAACAGAGCAUAGUUCUAUUUCAAUUCAGUUGAAUAUCAGGGAUAACCUUUGUUUAGAGACAUUUGAGACCUUAAUGUUAUAUAUAUUUACCUCUUGUGAGUUUUUAGAAAAAUUUAAGAGUGUCUAUGUACUUUCAAAGGAUAGAAGAAAUAUUCUAGUAUUAUAUUUCUGCUGUGGAAAGUGAGUACCAAGUAAAAAAUAAAGGGUGUGUGUCAUGGCUUCUAAAAUUGGAGCAGGUGGACCAGUUCCUGGGGACCUUAGAAAAGGAAGAUCCCAAGAAGCAGAGGAUUCUAUGACUCCACUGCCUUGCACGUAGCAUCAGUGUAAAUUGUACAGCUUGUCAGUUAACAGCAUUAAUUUAGGAGUAAGAUAUUGUUUAAAAAUGUAGUGUCCUGAUUAAAAAAAUCUUUUUAUUUCUCGCAUAUACCUGAGAAAGCCUGUGUACUUUCUAAAGUUUUGGAAAGAGAUGAGCAGAGCUAUGGGUUGAGAAGUGAGGAGUGAGGGUUGAGAAAGAAGUUAGAGAAAUGUUAGUGAAAAAAAAAAUAUAUGUGUGUAUGUAUAUAUAUGUAUAUGUAUAAGAAUUAGAACAAUGUUUAUAGUAAUGAUGAGUAUUGAGUUUCCAUGGAUGCUGUAUUGAUGGUAGCCCAGAUCUUAGAACUGGAGUAAUUUAGAUUCGGGUACCCAUUAAGUAUUUUUACUGUAUGCCAAGCACUAUCCUUUCCUUUAACUUUCAUAGUUCUUUGAGGCAAUAUUAUCUCCAUAUAAUGGCUGAAAAAGCUAAGUUAUAAAUAUUAUGAUUGAUUUAUUAAGGAUCUUACAGGUAGUAGAGAAUAGGUCCAGUAUGUUGAACUCAGGACGCUAGACUUCAAGUAAAAGAAAAAAAUUUUUGAGUACUUACUGUGUCAUUGCAUUGUACUUAGCAAUUUAUCUGUAUCUCAUUCAGUCUUUACCACAACCUGGUAAGGCAAAUGUAGUUUAUAAAUGAAUAAAUUUGAGGCUUAGAGAGCCUUACAUAGCCAGCAGAUUUUGUCACCGUACUUUGAAUUUGUUCUCUUAACUGCUACACUAUAUGGCCUUUAUAAUUUGGAAAGAGAAUAGGAACAUUGUGUGAAAUUGAUUGAACUAAGGUUUCUAUGGGUAACCUAGGAACUUUUACUUUUUAUAAUGUUUCUUACCAAGAAGAACAUAAUUGUCAAUCACAUGCAAGUAAACUAAGUAUUUUAAAUCCUUUUUUGUAAUAAAACUUUAAUAGCAAAUACUUUGCUUUCAAAAUUAAUACAGGCUAUCUAUAAAACAGUGGCUAUAAGAAAUGGGUAAAAACUAUAGUUGAAAUCCAUAUUGCAGAAUCAGUUUUGAGCCAGAACUCAUUAUCUUUAAGGAAAUUCAGGAUUAGGUUAAGUAACUUUUGCCAAAGUUUUAGAAGCAGCAGAUUCCAGUCCAGGUAAUUUAGGGUAGAGCUCUAAUUCUUAACUGCUUUACUGGCCUAAGAGAAUGUGAAUGAUUGUGCAGAAAUGGAGCCUUCUUACCUCUGAUAACUUAAAGACACUAAUUUUGAGCCCAGAUAACACAUCAUUGUUUGACUCAAGGGAAGUGUUAGACUUUAUCUGCUUCUGUCCUUAUUGUUUCCUUUGCUCACUUGUCUCAGUAUUUUUUGUUGUUGCUUAAUAUUAUUCUUGAACAUGAAAAUUCUCUUUAUCAAGUUGGCACUUAAUAAAUGUUGAAUGUUGAAAAACAAAAAAAUUAAAAGUCUUAAGUAUAGAGAUGAAAUUUUAACAUAUUCAUUGAUAAUCUUUUUUUUAAUUAAAGUUUAUUUAUUUAUUUUGAGAGAGAGAGAGAGAGAGAGAGGGGCAGAGAGUAGGAGAGAUAGAAUCCCAAGCAGGCUCCAUACUCUCAGUGCAGAACCCACAAACCAUGAGAUCAUGACCUGAGCCUAAAUCAAGAGGUGGACGUUUAACUGACUGAGCCACCCAGGCGACCCAUCAUCUUUUUGUUUGUUUAUUUGUUUGUUUGUUUGUUUCUAAUUGUUUUGUUUUGUAUUGUUUUUAAAGAAGAAUUUCUGUAGCUUUGGGGACUAAAAUGUUAAUUUAAAAGGUUGAUUUAAGAUUCUCAUGACUUGGAGAAAAUUUUCUGUGCUUCUGAGGAACUUUUCUUAGUUAACGAGUGUUUUAAGUGUCAGAUUACAAUGAAAUCCUGUGGUGAUACAAAAUUCAGGUAGAGUAUAGUUGGCUCCCACCCUCUGCCCUGCCUUAGUGCCUGCCAGUGAGGCCAGGUACCUGUUUUGUUUGUAAUAAUUGGCUUUCGCACAAUUCUGGUAAAUUAAAAUUGAUAUAUGUACUUUUCCUUCCUUGUUACCUCUAUUCUGUAACUGGAAGACUAUUGGAAAAAUAAUUGUUUUCUGUUAACUUUGAAAUAUUAAGUCCUAUUUUUCAUGUAGUUAGAUUUUUUGGACCAUACUUAUAAGAGGAUAUCUGGGUUUUAAUGCACAGUACUUAAUAAAUGGAGUAUUCAUAUGUCCAGAAGGCACUUCUUUGCCAGCUUGAUUGUAUAGAAUGAAGGCAGGAACUAGAUAGUUGAUAAAGAUCCAAAAGAGCUAUCAUAGAAUGUGAAGCAAUUUUUUUUUUUUUUUAGCCUAUAUGAAAUUCCUUUGGUCAGUGUUUCCUACAGUAGUUACUCUAAUAGGUGUUAUACUAUAACAAGUAUUCUAUAGCCAGACAAGUUGAGGAAGUGUAACUUAUAGGAUCCCUUGAAGGACUGGUAUUCCUUGGAUCACACUUUGGAAGCUCUGCCUUAGGUAUUUGGAUCUUGCAUUUAUUUUAGAAGAGAAGGGAAAGGAGCCAGCAUUUAAAAAGCAUUACUUCACAGGCCCUAGGUGAUGUCUCCAUUUUACCGACAAGGAACCCAAGGCACUUCUGGAGGGUAGAGGAUACUAACAGGGCAGAAUUGGAAUGGAUCCCAAUCUCUCUGAUUCCUAAAUCUUUGCUCUUUUGUCUUUGCUAUGCUACCAUGUGAUUGUAUUGAAUUUGUGGUUUUACUUACAAAUGGCAACUUAGCAGUAGUACUAGGAAAGAGUAUAUACUUCCCUAUUUAGAGAAGAAGAAAAAAAGAAUUUGACUAGUUGACCAUGUCCUGCAUCCUUUGUUUUGCAUAGAUGAACUCCAUGUUCUGGGGGGGAAGAUUUUAGAGAAUACUCUACAAAUUAGGCUCCUGUUUGAGUGAGAUUGGAUACUAUCUUUAGGUGUGUAUAGUUUUAUAUCUAUAUUCGACAUCAUAAGGCCAGAGCCUCUCUUUGAUCAGGUAUAGUGAACUUAGACGUUACUAAUUUCAGUUACCUACCUUUCUGGAGAUUAUAAAGCUUAAUGAAGAUAAUUAUGCAUGUAAGAUGCUUGGCACAGUGUCUGACCCAUAAUAAUCUUAGCUGCUAUUAUUAAUAGUAAUAAUAAUUAACGCUUAGGUGUAGGUUGUUACCUCUUUGUAUCUGUUGUAUAUUUUUUUUAAGUGUAUUUAUUUUGAGAGAGUGUUGUGCACUCGCACAAGAGGGAAAGGGACAGAGAGAGAGGGAGAGAGAAUCUUAAGCUGGCUCAACGCUUAGCACGGAGCCCAACACUGGGCUCGAUCUCAUGACCCUGAGAUCAUGACCUGAGCUGAAAUCAAGAGUCAGAUGCUUAACUGACUCAGCCACCCAGGCACUCCUGUUUAUUUUAUUUUUUUUAACAGGCAUGUGUAUUUAGGGUGGUCAUAAGGAGGCCUCCAAAUCUUUUUUUUUUCUUUUUUAAAUUUUAAGAAAAAAUCAUCACCAGAUAACCUUUUUAUUUUUAAUUAAUUUAUUUUUUUCAGAUAACCUUUUUAAAGUAAUGGAAAUUAUAUCUUGGAUGCAGUUUAUAAGACAGUUACAGUUCCCAUUAGGGAUCUGGCAAAUUUUUAGUGACUACUAGUUGUAAUUUUUUUUUUUUUAACAUGUAUUUAUUAUUGAGAGACACACACACACAGCAUGAGCAGGCCAGGGGCAGAGAGAGGGGGAGACACACAGCAGGCUCCAGGCUCUGAGUUGUCAGCACAAAGCCUGACAUGGGGCUGGAACUCACAAACCACAGAUCAUGACCUGAGCCAGAGUUGUACACCAAACCAACUGAGCCACGUACGCAGGCGCCCCAUCAGUGAAUACUAGUUGUAAUAAGCAGAUGUUGGCCUAGUGCGCCCCAAGGUUUUUUGUUUUUUAAUGUGAGAUUUGUAUUUUAAGUCAGUCUGAUGUCUGUGUUGUCAGUCUUUUAAAGGCUGCCUAUUUUUCUUCUGAAAGCUAUUUUUAUCUAGUUUGUAUUCAUUGGCAGUUUGGUUUACAUUGGCCAUUAGGUUAUUAAAUGUUUAACUGUGAUGGGCACACCAGAGUACUAUGGAAUGUGAAGAUUUUUUCUCUCCUUCCUGCCCCCCGCCCAAAUCAGGUUGUCAGCAGUCUCAUUCGGUAGAGUUAAAGUGGUCUGAGGUGCUCUCUGAACAUUUGGAUAACUAUUUAGAACCAUUCAAAACCACUGAGGCUAUUAACUGUGAAUGGAGUUAAGCAGAAUACUGUGUUCUUUUCCUUCAGUUUUUUUUUUUUAAUGUUUAUUUUUUGAGGGGGGAGAGAGAGAGAGAGACAGACAGACCAUGAGCGGUGGAAGAGCAGAAUGGGAAGCAGGCUCCAGGCUCUGAGCUGUCAGUGCAGAGCCCAACGCGGGGCUCAAACUCACGGAGUACGAGAUCAUGACCUGAGCCGAAGUAGGACACUUAACUGACUGAACCACCCAGGCACCCCCGUUUUUCUUCAGUUUUGAUUCCUUCUUCUCUAAUUUGAGGAAGCUGGGGAGAGAAACUAUCCACUCCCCAUCCCAUGAAAAGUUUCUUCUCCCUUCUUCACUUUUUAUUUACUGCUUUGAAACAGCCAAAAUCUUUGGGGGCUUAAAGAACAUCAGACACUUUUCACAGUUUAAGGCAGAGUGAUUUUCAUGGGAAACCUUUUCUUAUAAGUAAAAUACUCUUUGUCCUUGCCAGGGCAUUCUUAAAAGGGCAGCCAGCAGCACCUCACUGCUUUGUCACUAACCAGAAUAGAGAGGAGAGAAUGAGUCACAAGGUUCCUUCUUUCACAUUUUUCCUUUUCUCUUUUCCCUUUCCACUUAGCUUUUCAUGGGGACUGAACCUGGCUUCUGGUGGAAUGGGGGUAAUUUUACUUCAGUGCAGAGCCUUCUUGGUGUUUAUUCUCUCUCUCUUUCUGAGCGUCCCCUGCUUGUUCUUGCUCUCUCUCUAAAAUAAAUAAAUAAACUUAAAAAAAGAGCUUUAUUUCAGUAGGUUACAUGAUUAUUCUGAGGAACAGCAGAUUCUUUUCUUACUAUUUGAUAGGGGUAGCCAAUGACCAGUGAGAUUGCUUACUUUUUUUGUGUCUGUAUGAACCUCGGUUUUGAAUAUGUUUGUUUUAAUCCAUUGUAGUUUUUCUUUUUAGUUUUCAAAUUGUCUCAUUUUAGUCAGUGGGAGCCCCUUCAUAUUGGUUCCUGUAUCUGUAGAUAUAACCUCAGUAAUCUUUGGUAAUUCUGUUUUCUAGUAUACAAGAUGUUUCAGGCUCAUCUUAUCCAUAACCUGCCUUAGAUCCAGAACCAGAAUUUAGAUUUCUCUGAGGGAUUCUGAUUCCUAUUAGUAUUAGUAUUUAAAGACCAUAAUUUGGAUAUUUGUCACUAUGUGUUGAUUGUUGUUUCUAGGCUCAUUUAGUGGACAGAGCUAGGGUGUAUAUCUGUGGAUGUGUGUGUGUUGGAUUUUUCUUAUUGUGAAAUACACAUAAAAUUGACCAUUUGAACCAUUUUAAAGUGUACAGUUCAACAGUAUUAAUUACAUUCCCAUUGUUGUGUGUUCAUUACCACUAUCUUGUUCCAGAAAUUUUCCACACCCUGAAAGGAACCCUUGUAUUCAUUAAGCAGUCACUCUGCAUUCUUCCCUCCCUCCAGACCCUGGCACUAAUCUGCUUUUGACUGUAUGGAUUUGCUUGUUCUGGACAGUUCAUAUAAAUGGACUCAUACAAUAUCUGGCCUUUUGUACACUGGCUUUCACUUAAUAAUGUUUUCAAGGUUCAUCCAUGUUGCAGUAUGUAUCAGUACUUCAUUCCUUUUUAUGGCUUAAAAAUAUUUCAUUGUAUGAUAAAUUACAUUUUGUUUAUCUGUUUAGUUGAUUGACAUUUGAGUUUUGGCUAUUGUGAAUAGUGUUGCUAUGAACAUUUGUGUGUAAGUUUUUGUUUGAAUGCUUGUCAGUUUUUUGGAGGUAUUUACUAGGAGUGGAAUUGCUGGGUCAUAUGGUAAUUCUGUGUUUAAUUUAUUGAGGAACUGCCAACCAGUUUCCCAGGGUGGUUGCACCAUUUUAUAUUCCCACCAGCAGUGUAUGAAUGAGAGUUCCAGUUUUUCCUAUAACCUCUCCAACACUUUUGUUUUCCAUUUUUUGAUAAUGGCCAUUCUGGUUGAUGUGAAAUGGUGCUUCAUUGUGAUUUUGAUUUGCAUUCUCUUAAUAACUAAUGAUGUUGAGCAAGGAUGGGCUUGUUGGCCAUUUGUAUAUCUUCUUAUAGGAGUAUACACUCAAGUCCUUUGGCCAUUUUUAAAUUGGGUUGUUUGCCUUUUUGUUGUUGAGUUGUAAGGAUUCUUUAUAUUUAUUCUGUAUUAAUUUAUACUUAUUCUGUAUACUAGAUCCUAUCAGAUACAUGAUUUGAAAAUACAGUCUCCCAUUUUAGGAGUUGUCUUCCCCCCUCCCCCCCCCACUCUCUUGAUAGAGUACUUUCAUGCACAAAAGUUUUAAAUUUUGAAGUCAAAUGUAUCCAUUUCUUUCUUUUUUGUGCUUUUCAUGUUAUACCAGGAAAAGCACUCCUGAAUCCAGUUAUGAAAAUUACCCAUGUUUCCUUCUAAGGAUUUUAUAGUGUCAUUACUUACAUUUAGGUCCCUGACCCAUUUUGAGUUAAUUUUGAUUUAUGAUGUGAGGUAAGGGUCUAGUUUUCCAAGUUAUAUUUGUUGAAGAGGCUGUUCUUUUCCCAUUGAAUGGUCUUGGCACCCUUGUUGAUAAUCAGUUACCCAUAGAUACCUGGGUUUAUUCAUGGACUCUCAGUUCUCUUCUAUCGAGAUAUAUGUAUGUAUGUGUGUAUAUAUGUAUGUGUGUGUGUACAUAUAUAUAGUAUUUAUGCCAGUACUACACUGUCCUGAUUACUGUAGUUUUGUAAUGUAUUUUGGAAUGGGGAAAUUUAAGUGUCCAACUUUUAAGGAUUAUUUUGUCUAUUCAGAAUUCUUCAUGAUUCCAUAUGUAUUUUAGGAUCCUCUUCUCCAUUUUUGCAAGAAAGCCUUUUGGGGUUUGGAUAGGGGUUGUGUUGAAUCUGUAGAUUGGUUUGGGUUGUAUUGAUGUAUUAAUAAUAAUGUUUUCUAAUCCAUGAGCUGGAAUGUUUUUCUAGUUACUCUUCUUUAAUUUCUUUCAGUAAUGUUUUGUAGUUUUCAAGUCUUGUACCUCCCUGGUUAAAUUUAUUCCUGUUGUACACUGAAUUGUUUGAAAAUAUCCUUUUCUGAUUAUUUAUUGCUAGUAUAUAAAAAUACAACUGAUUUUUGUGUUGAUGUUAUAUUCUGCAACUUUGCUGAACUUGUUGUAUGAUUCAGAAAAUACACCAUGAGUUCAUACCAAUAUUUCCAAAUCUGAUGUCAUUUCAAGGGUAAGAGGUUGCUAUUAUAAGAUUUUGCCUUUGACUUUUUAAAUCUUUAUAUCUAUAGCUCUUUUAUGCCAAAAAUCUUGUGAGUAGUGCAUUACUUGAUUUAUAUUUAUAUAUACAUAUUAGUGUUGUUAUUUUGAGAUUAUUGUAGAAAAUGGUUGCUGCAAAUAAUUUAAGAAUUCUUGUGUUUAAUAUAGAUUUUAUUAGGGAUUUACAGUCAAAUUACCUUUCUAAAAUCAUUUGAAAUAACUUCUCUCUGACAUUAAGCCACUUGUUUGAUACAUAAUUUCUUUGGUCAUUUUAUUGUCAAUUUUUGGCAGUAACUUAUUUUCAUUUUGAUUAAAUUUUGUUUUAUAAUUAUGUAAAAUAUUUAUGUUCCAAAACUACAGUAUAAAGUAUAAUCAGAAAGUCAGCUUUUAUCCUUUCCCUCCCCUAUAGGUAACCAUUUAUAUUCGUUUUUGGCUAUUAAAAAAAUAAAUGUACGUGUACUUAUUCAUCUUUCUCUCUUCUUAGAUACAUCUUCCACUUUAUUUUAUACUUUGUAUUUUUUUACUUAACAGAAAUCCUAGAAAUUACUCAUAGUAUAUGAAGCUCUUCUUAUUGCUUUGUGUAUCUGCAUAGCAUUCAGGUUUUUUAUUCAAGCAGUUCUAUAUAGGUAGAGAUUAAGGUGUUACAUAGGGAAAUUUUCAGUGAGACCAAUUCUCUUGUUCUUCUGGCGCUGAAACUUUAAAAGGUAUUUUAUUUUUCAUUUUUAUAAAGAUAACUGUUUUACCACAAAUACUCCCAACAGUAUACAACUAUGUAUGGUAAAAAGUGUAAAGUUGUCUUUGAUUCUUUUCUGCCCACUUUCCCUCUACUCACAUCUCCAGAAAUUACUACUAAGUUAGUUCAAGACAUUUGUCUGUUACGAGUGUACAACAUUUCUAUGUACCACAAAUGGUUUUUUAAGAAAAUUGGGAUCAUAUCUGAAUGUUCUGCAACUUAAUUUUUUAAUAUAAUAUUAUCGAUUGAGCUUUAAAUUUGGAUAAUGAAAAGAGAUUCCUGAGUGUAAAUAAGACUUAAAAAACAGUUUUGAGAUCUUUUUUCCUUCUCUUUCAUUAACACUGGAUAGCAUAUUUUGUGUGUGUGUAACUUCCUAAAUUUUCUGUAUUUUACUUACUGCCCUAAAAUACAGAAAGUAGUGAGGUGCCUGGGUGGCUCAGUGGGUUGUGUCAGAAUCUUGAUUUCGGGUUGGGUCAUGAUCUCAUGGGUUCCUGAGUUCGAGCUCCCCAUUGGGCUCUGCACUGACAGAAUCCAUUUGGGAUUCUUUCUCUCCCCCUCUCUUUCUGCCCCUCCUCUGCUUGUGCUCUUUCUCUCUCAAAAUAAACUUUAAAAACAAAGGUUAAAUCCAGAAAGUAGUGUGUGUUAGAUUUUAUUGUUGUAAUCCAUUGUGGCUUAAUGUUAAAAGUGAAUCUAAAUAAAGUCAAGAUACUUAGUAAUAACCAGGUUGAAUGUGAGCUUUGUAAAGGCAGGAAAAAAAUUUGCCUUUCUUGUUCAGUACCGGGUCCCUAGCACCUAGGACAGCAACUGGUUCCCUGUUCUUCCCACUCUACUUAUUUUAUUUUCAUAAUAUAAAUUAUAAAUGGAUCAUGCUAUACAAACUAUUCUGUUUUUUUCACUUGUUAAUGUAUUAUGGACAUUUUCCAUGUCAGUACUUAAGUGUUUAUUCUUUUAAAUUAAUGGGUUAAUGGAGAUAUCAUAUGUUACAUAUUUAGGUAGUUUAAAGACUUUAAUUUGAACCAUUUUUCUCCCUUAGCCUUGGGCACUAGUGUUUUGUUUUUAAAAUAUUAGUGGAAGAUACUAAGUUGAGGGAUAUGAUGGAGUUAAAGUGUGUAACUCCCCUUUUUGAGUGUAUAACAUCAAUGUGUUUAUGUAGAGUGGUGGUGUAUGUAACAUGCUUUAGAUAAUGAUAUGACUAUUCUGACCAUGAAUGUUGGAGUAAUUCAUUUUAAAAUAUUUGGACGAACAAUUCAGAUAAGGAGAAAUUAUAGUUAACCUGUGAAAGUAUUCAUUUUAGUGUAAUUGACAAAACAAAAAUAAAAUGAGAAAAAAUUGUACCCCUAAUCCCCAUUUAAAUUGACAAAGAUUAGAUACAUAAUAGUUGGUGACAAGGGUUUUGAAAGAUGUGUUGCUGAAGAAAAAUAGGUUUGUAUAUUCUUUUUGGAGGGCAGUUUGACAGAAUUUCAGAAGUUCUACUUCUGGGACGUUAGGGAAAGAAAUUGAGAUAGACUCACAAAUUUAGAUACAUAUAAAUCGUUAUGGAAAUUUUAAUCCUGGGACUAAUAACAAUAAUAUUACUUAAAUAGUGCUUCCCCAUGCCAUACAUUACAUUUAUUUAAUCCUCUCAAUGAUCUUAUGAUAUUCAUGCAAGAGGAUUAAAAAUGAUGAUAUAGAAGAAUAUUUAACAUGGAUGUAAAUAUUUUUUUAAGUACACAUUUAAGUUUUUUUAAGUACACAUUUUUUUAAAGUUUAUUUUGUGAGAGAGAGCACCUGUGAGAGCAGGGGAGGGACAGAAAGAGAGAGAGAGAGAGAAGAGGGAGAGAAUCCCAAGUGCUAAAAGCACUGAGCCAGAUGCGGGGCUCAAGCCUACUAACCGUGAGGUUAUGAUCUGAGCCGAAAUCAAGAGUUGGACACUUAACCCACUUAGUCACCCAGGCACCCCAGUAUGGAUAUAAAUUCGUAAUAACAAUGAGUGAAAAUAGUACAUUGCAAAAGAGUAUGUGCACUGAUUGCAUUGACUGUGACCAAACUGAGAAUAUUCUCCAAAAUAUUUAUACUUACACUCCUGUAUUAUACUUACAAUCUAGUUAAACUUAAAAUGUGUUAUUCAGAUAUGUUAAUUUUAUUCUUUUUGCCGUUUUAUAGUUUCUCUUCAGUGAACAUAUAUUAUCUAACAAGAAACCUAAUUUUUUUUUUAAAAGGUACUUUGAUUUUACAGGAUUUACUUCCAAGAUUCCUGAACAGUGCAUUCCCUAAACACCUUUAAAAAAGAAUUCUAUUGGUUAUACUUUAAAUCUAUAAGUAACUUUAAUCCUUGUGAGGGAGCUAGACUAAGGUUUAAGAGCUUUCUGGUUCUCUAUGACUUUAUGAUUCAUCUCAGGAUUUUGUGUUAUUAGGUAUAUUUCUUUGGAAAUAUGUUGCAAGGAAGUGAGCUGGAUGAAACUUGCUGCAUGAUUGCUUUUUUGAAAUCAAAAUUGUUGUUGAAUAUUAAUUAGCACCACAGUUUUGUGUGAAGGCUUUAAGACUGUGUGAUAAUGAGACUCAUUAUUGGAGAGACAGUGUUAGGUGUUCAAGGUGUCCACAUUUAUUCAUUCAGUGUUCAAAACCAACUAUAUGCUAGGCACUCUUCUAGUCAAAGUGCCUAGCAAUAGUCAAGUAGGACAGAUUUAUUAAAGAAGAGACAGUAAAAAUGUUUGUUUCAUACUGUUUCUCCUAGGCUUGGGGUCUCCCAAAAGGCAGGAGGAUUUAUUUUCUUGGGUAUUUGGGAGUUUGAUUUAAUUUAAGUUGAAAGUGAGAAGGAGCCAUGAACUAUGGAGAAGAUAAAUAAUUAUAGUAUAAUUUUCAUAUCAACUUACUAUUGAGUUAGAGUCUUUAUGUCUAUGUCUUUCUUAAGGAAUUGGCAUUUAUUUAAUAUUUAUGUAUCUUUUACUUCUACUUUUAACAUGGUCUUUAUGACAAUCCCGAGAGAGAAGAAUUAUUAUCAGUAUUUAACAAAUAAUAAAAUGGAGUUUUUAGAAAAGUUAAGUAAUUUGCUUAAGGGUCAUUGCUUAGUGAAAUUUAAACUAGGUCUGUUGAUGCUGAAGUCCAUUAGCUUUUUGUGAUAUCUUCCAAAGGAAGUUGGUAUUAAUUGUGUGGGGGUGAGGGUUUAUUUUCUCCGUAGAUAAUACUGAAUAACAAGAUGUACUAAAUUUGAAAGCUGUGCUGCAAAUGGUUUUUUUCCCCCCAAAUUGGGGAAAAGCCCAGCAUAUUUCAAAAUAAAAAAUAUUCUUUUUUGUAUUAAAAAAGUAAAAUGUGUUCAUCAUAGAAAAAAUAUAAGAUUAGGGGGAUGAAAAAGAAAAAAAGAAAAGAAGGAAGGUAGCUGGGAUAGUAAAAGAGUUUUAUUGAUCCAGUGUUAAAUUUUUGGUGUACAGGUAGUACUUAACAUAAUAAUAUAGUUUGGGUUCCAGAGUCUGUGUGGCCUGGAAUUAAAUCUGAACUCUUACCAUCUAAUGGUUUUGUUAUUUGAGACCAUGAAGGUUUUGGGGCAAAUUACUUAUUUCAGUUUUGCAUAUGAAAGAAGUGAGGUUUAGAGAAGGCCUAUAUUAUAGAGCAUCUUAGAGUUUUGAUGAUUAAAUGUGGUAAAAGGCAUAUGAAAUGCUUGUCAUAUACCUAAAAUUCCAGGCACAUCCUAGUUCUUUGCACAUAGAUAUAUUAUUUUUUACUGAAAUUAAUUAUCAAAAAUUACAACUGCCUUUUUUAAACCUCUGUAUCAAAAAUAUCUUUUGAUAUAAAUCACAGCAUUUAAAAUUUUCAGAUAAUAACUUAUGUGUACCAUGUGAUGCUGUAAUCAGUCAUCCUCUUCUUGGUAGACAUUUCAUUGUUUCUGAUUCUCUCUUUUGCAGUUAUAAAUAAUAUUUCAAUGAAUAUUUUUGUAGCAGACCUUUAAACAUGUUUUCAUCCCAUUAGAAUGAAGCUAGCAGUCAAAGAAUACAUACACUUUUAAGAUUUUUGAUUCAAGUUGCUGGAUUGCCUUCCGAAGAUAUUGUAACUAUGUUCCUAACAGUAAUUCAUAUGGUCACCUGUUCCCCUGUGUUCUUAUUGUGUUACAUAUUAUAAUUUUAAAUCAUCAUUGUUGAUUUGAUCCAUUUUAAUUUACAUUGCUUUGAUUACUAAUAAGGUUGAGGGUUAUUUUUCUACAUGCAUAUUGGCCCCUUGUGUAUUAUCUAUCUGUUUUCCCAUUAGUUUUCAAGUCCUCAUUUACAUUUUGAAGGUUAUUUAUCUUUUCCUAGUGAUGGAAAGAGCUCUUUAUAUAUGAAUACUCUGAACUCAUUGUUGUAUGUUGCAAGUACUUCCCCCCUAAAUUAUCUUGUAAUUUUGCUUAUGUUUAUGUAUUUAUUUAUGUUUAUGUUUAUUAUUUUUUUGCUUAUGUUUAUUUUUGGAUGCAUAGAAGUUUAAAAAGUUUAUGCUAACAUAUGUGUUGAGCUUCUAGCUUUAGGGUAUUGCUCCACGAACGGUACAGAUUGGCAGUUCUCAGACUUUGGUCUUAGCACCUCUUUGUACUCUUAAAUACUAUUGAGAACCCUGAAGAGCUCUUGUUAGUGUGGGUUACACCUGUAGAUACUUGCCACGUUAGAAAUUAAAACUGAGAAUUUUAUAAAAUAUUAAUUUAUUAGAAGCAAUAAGUUUUUUACAUGUUAACAUAAAUACCAUUUUUAAUGAAAAAUAAUUAUAUUUUCCCAAAUAAAAAAAAUUGAGAAAUUUUUAUUUUUGCAGAGCUCUUUGAAUGUAGCUGGAUUCUCAUAUAUCUGUCUCUGCAUUUAAUCUCUGGGGAUAUCUAUCAUGGGACAUAUUGCCUCUGGAAAACUGUUUCGUAUACUCCAAAGAAUGAGUGUGAAAAAGCAGAUGUUAUAUUAUUAUUGUUAUGAACAUAGUUUUGGUUUCAUAGGCCCCCUGAAAAGGUCCAGAGAUCUGAACUGUACUUUAAGAACUGCUGAUACAAAUGUUCACUUAUAUAUUACUCUUGGAGUUUUAUGGCUGAAUUUAAUUUUUUUAAUUAUUAUUUUUUAGCAUUUAUUUAUUUUGAGAGAGAGAGAGAGAGAGAGAGAGAGAGAGAAUGAAUGAAUGAAUCCCAAGUAGGCUCUGGCUGUCAGUGCAGAGCCCAACAGGUUCAACCUCAUGACCAUGAGAUCAUGACCUCAGCUGAAAUCAAGAGUCAGAUGCUCAACUGACUGGGUCACCCAGACACCCCUUUUAUGACUGAAUUUAAAUGAAUGAAUUUGAGUAUAAGUUUAUAAUCCCCCCUCUUCCCAGUUAAGCAUGCUUUUGUUGAAAGAUCCAUUUCUACGUAAAUCAUUGACUGAUGAAACUCUAAACCUACCCACUUUUUCUCAGUUACUGAGUUUAACUGCAAUGAAAGCAGUAGUCUUAGCAAUCUUUGCUUAAUGUUCUAUUUUGGUGUAUUAGAUUGCUGAUGAAUCCUCCAAACCCUGACUUCAGUUUCACAACCUAUUGCCCUAAAAACUUAAAGAUGUUUUAUUCAUGUUGAUUAUGGCGUUUUACUCUAACAAAUAUUGUUUCCUUACCAGUUAUGAAAGGGAUACAUGAUCAUUAUAGGACAUUUGAAAUGUACACAGAAGCAUAAACAAAAGAGUAUUUUGUUACAUUGAAUAGGCAGAGUGCUAUAGUCUCUUACUAUACUUUAAUGGGAGUUAUUUCAAUAUCGAAAAAUGCUAGCAAGUUGAACAAUUCAUAAAUUCCUACUCCACAGUUGAUGAAUUGUAUGACUUUUCAUGUGUUGUUUAGCUUCUUGGGAUUCCUAACUCACCAGACUUUUGUUUACUAUUCAGUGUGUGUUUCUAGGUGCUUUGGAUACAAAGAGCAAGACAUGAUUUCCCCUGCCAGGGGAAACCAAUUUGCAGGUUAAUGAAGAAAUAUACAUGUUCUGUAAUAAGUAUUACUAUGGCCACAAACAAUUAUUAAUAUUAUGGAAGAGCCUAAGCAAGCUAAUGUUGAGAAAUGAUGGGGGAGUGAAGAGAAGGAAGUGGAUUUGCAAAGAUUCAGGUUGUACAGUCUUCCUUUAGUAUUUGAUGAUUUAUUGGCUCUCUGGUCAAGAAUGACUCCCAGCUCUACCACUGAGUGGAUAAUGAUGUAUACUAAAAUAGGGAAUAUGCCCCACUCCCAACAAAAUAAAUCUCCCAGCACAUCUAUAUUUUCCAAGGCUCUAUUCUUUUGCUUUCCAAGAUGAGUUCAAUUGUGGCCAUGUUGGAUUUGAGGGGCCUGGAAAUAUUCAGGUGGAGAUGUGUGGGAGGCAUAAAGCUACCAGGAAAGUUGUGUGGACUAGAGUUCGUGGUGUGGCAUAUGUGAUUGAGUGGAGAUUAAGAUCAUCUUUUGAGAAUUCUUAAUAGGAGAGAAGAAGGCCAGUGAUUUUCCAGCAUUUGAUGGAGAGUUAGAGGAAAAUGAAUCUAGCAAAAAGUUGUCAGAAGAGGGAAGAUAGAAGAGUGGUGGUAUAAAAGGCAACAGACCAGAAUUUAAAGGAGGAGGAAGGGAGAAGGGGAUCUGAAAUGCUAACUCCUCCUUACAAGCUCAAAUAAGACCUGAAAAUUGUUCAUUUGAUUUAGGAAUAAGGAGGCAUUGAUGACUUAAAAACAGCUUAACUGGGAAGCUGGGUGUGGAAGCUGUUAGCAAAGAGAAUAGAGGUGACUGGGCGCCUAGGCGGCUCAGUCGGUUACGUGUCUGGCUCUUGGUUUUUUGGCUCAGGUCAUGAUGUCACGGUUUGUGAGUUUGAGCCCCACAUUGGGCUCUAUGUGCACAGUGCGGAACCUGCUUGGGAUUCUCUCUCUCCCUCUCUUUCUGACCCUUCCCCGCUCACUUUCUCUCUCAAAAACAAAUAAAUAAACUUAAAAAAUAGAGUAGAAGUGAGGAAAUGGAAUACAGUGAGUUUUGGCUACUUUUUUGAGAAGCUUGCAAAUGGACAUAGGGAUUUGAGAAUGUUAUGUUGAGAGGAAGAGACUCAGAGAUUGAACUGAGAGAUGAGGACAUAAUGUCAUUUUAAACUUUCUAGAAAAACUUUUUGUUUGCCCUUUUUGUUUUUUAAACUAUUUUAUUUAUUUUAGAGAGAGAGAAAGAGAGCCCGUGUGAGCAGGGCAGAGGGAGAGAAUCUUAAACAGGCUCCAUGCCCAGUGCAUAGCUGGACAUAAGGCUCAGUUCCACGACCCUGAGAUUAUGACUUCAGCUGAAAUCAAGAGUUGAACCCUCAACUGACUGGGCCACCCAGAUGCCUCAAUUGUUUGCCCUUUCUGUAAAAAUUGUUUUAAAAUACACAGUACAGGGGCGCCUGGGUGGCGCAGUCGGUUGGGCGUCCGACUUCAGCCAGGUCACGAUCUCGCGGUCCGUGAGUUCGAGCCCCGCGUCAGGCUCUGGGCUGAUGGCUCAGAGCCUGGAGCCUGUUUCCGAUUCUGUGUCUCCUUCUCUCUCUGCCCC